UCCCUGGUGGUCCAGUGGUUAGGAUACAGUGCUUUCACUGCAGCGAUCCAGGUUCGAUCCUUGGUCAGGGAA
rfam:Ovis aries breed Texel chromosome 3, whole genome shotgun sequence.